CAGCCGCCGCGGUAAUACGUAGGUGGCGAGCGUUGUCCGGAAUUAUUGGGCGUAAAGGGAGCGCAGGCGGACAUAUAAGUCCAUCUUAAAAGUGCGGGGCUCAACCCCGUAAGGGGAUGGAAACUGUAUGCCUUGAGUGCAGGAGAGGAAAGCGGAAUUCCCAGUGUAGCGGUGAAAUGCGUAGAUAUUGGGAGGAACACCAGUGGCGAAGGCGGCUUUCUGGACUGUAACUGACGCUGAGGCUCGAAAGCCAGGGGAGCGAACGGGAUUAGAGACCCCCGUAGUCCCUGUCUCUUAUACA
rnacentral:rRNA from 1 species